rnacentral:rRNA from 1 species
UACGAAGGGGGGCGAGCGUUGUUCGGAAUCACUGGGCGUAAAGGGCGCGUAGGCGGCCCCUCUUAGUCGCGUGUGAAAGCCCCGGGCUCAACCUGGGAACGGCGCGCGAAAACGGGGAGGGCUGGAGUUCGGGAGAGGAGAGUGGAAUUCCCAGUGUAGAGGUGAAAUUCGUAGAUAUUGGGAAGAACACCGGUGGCGAAGGCGGCUCUCUGGACCGAGACUGACGCUGAGGCGGCGAAAAGCGUGGGGGAGCAAACAGGG